rnacentral:misc_RNA from 1 species
CUAAACGCAUAUCUGCAUCUAUAGUUGCAAGUGAAGAUGUCAUCCAGUAUAUAUCUAAAGAGAAGGAAGUUUUAGCUCUUCUAUCCCGUCUAGAUCUGCAAAAUGUUCAUUUCACAGAUUCUCCUCCAGGGGAUGCCAACCAAUCAGUCCAUCUUGUUGCCAGUGAGGGACUAGAGGCAUAUCUUCCCCUUGCUGAUAUGGUUGAUAUAUCAGGUGAAGUUGACCGCCUUUCCAAGCGCCUUUCCAAGAUGCAAAGAGAGUAUGAAGGGCUUGUAGCUCGC